CCGAGCAGUAAUGGAUGCCCGUCAUCCAUCAUUUUAAUAGUUAAACAUUACUACAAAUAUUCUCUUUUCUAAUCAGGGAGUGGCAACACAACGAUCAGUUGCCCACGAUCAUCAUUUUACUUCUGUGCAUAAAAUAUAAUUUUUUUUUUUUUUUUUUCUUUAGGAGGUGGCAACACAAGCAUUAUAGUUGCCAAACACUCAUCUUUUUACUUCUCUGCAUUGAUCUUAAUUCUUUCUCUCUCCAGGAAAUGGCAGUAUAAGAACGAAUGCCAAACACGGACAGCAAUUAUUAUUAUUAUUAUUAUUAUUUUUUUUUCAGGUUGCUGAGCGCUUCUGUCUAUUCAACAUGCGUUUUGUGUAGCAAGACAGGUAGAGAACCAGUCUGGUUCAAAUAGACACGGGGUUCAACUGCUAGAAUAAUAUGUCUAAUUAAUAACUGGUACACAUGGUUUUAAACGGUGCCCAAGGAGGGAGUUAGCUCAACUGCGGUAGACACAAUUACAAUACGUUUUUUGCGAAUAUUAAAGGUACAUGGGUUAAAUUCUACAAUAAUCAGCUACUACAGACGAAUAGACUGAAUAACACUGCGUGAGGUGUUCAAGGGUCAACUAUUGCUUCCAUUGGAGCGAUUGCAAUAGAUAUAAUAUCAUACCACCAAUAUGCAUGCAAUAUCUUGUAUUCAACAAUUAGGAAUGCCGGAUUCCAGAACCGAAAGAAGUCCUACAAAAGGACACCAACCCAGGGGUCUUGCAUCAAACCAGAUCCCUAUACGACAGUUACACGGUGAUCUUAAGAUAGGAAUAAUUAUCUAAACUCCGCAUCAUGAACGGUUAGCCUUUAAAGUUGUCCAUAGCAUGCAUACCGCUCGUCCACAGAAGUCCGGGGAUUAACCAGGCCUGGGAAUUCUUAUUAGAAGAGUUUUGGGACAACCUGCCUCAUAGGAGAGCAGAAGAGUCCCCCAAUAGAGGAUCCUGAGGACAAGCGGUAGAAAUGCAUAGUUCAACAAACCUGACGAGGUCCAAAAAUGCCAAAAUAAGAACGAUUAAAAUAUAUAUUUCAAACUAUAAAAAACGUUACGGUAACAACAGAAGUAUGAUGCCUAAUAUUGAAAUGCAGAUUUUUAAUAUUAAGAUAUUUUUGAUAAUGUUCAAAUUUAAGUUUUGUAUGUUUGUAUUUUCCCAUGUGGUCUUUUCACCCUGUUAUUCUGCAGGGUCGUUCAAAAUCCUUUGAGGUUAGUGGAAAUCAGUUCUCACUCUGUUCCUUUGUUGUCCUGUGUUGGUUUGGGCCCGAACGGCCAACCCCAUAUUUAUGACAUCUUAAGGAAUGAUGACUUAGAUGACCAUAUGGUUAAAAAAGGCUUUUGGUUUGUUGUGAGGCAGCUGUCCUCAGCAACACUUCUGAAUGUGUAAGAACUCCUUGCCACUCAAC
ensembl:lncRNA